rnacentral:rRNA from 1 species
CCUACGGGGGUCAGCAGUGGGGAAUAUUGCGCAAUGGGCGAAAGCCUGACGCAGCGAAGCCGCGUGAGGGAUGAAGGUCUUCGGAUCGUAAACCUCUGUCAGCAGGGAAGAACGGUCAAUGGGCUAAUCAGCAGUGAAUUGACGGUAACGGCAAAGGAAGAACCGGCGAACUCAGUGCCAGCAGACGCGGUAAUACGGAGGGUGCGAGCGUUAAUCGGAAUUACUGGGCGUAAAGCUCUCGUAGGCGGUAUGUCAAGUCAAGGGUGACAUCCCCGCGCUCAACGUGGCAACUGCCUUUGAAACUGGCAAACUGGAGUGUGUGAGAGGAUAGUGGAAUUCCAGGUGUAGGAGUGAAAGCCGUAGAUAUCUGGAGGAACAUCAGUGGCGAAGGCGACUAUCUGGCACAUAACUGACGCUGAGGAGCGAAAGCGUGGGUAGCAAACAGGAUUAGAUACCCGAGUAGUC